rnacentral:lncRNA from 1 species
AGUUCAACAAAAACCCCUCUUAAGUAUGCUUGCCAAAGGCCAACGAAGAACUAUUGAUUGCUGUAGGAACUAGAAGCUACCCAUAAAGAUAUGAAUGCUUUGGAGGCUUUUUCAGCCCCCACCAUCUCAAAUGAUAAGUCUUUUGUAGAGAGAAGAUGCGCAGUGAUGCCUUGUGUGAGAAAUAUUUUGAUAUCAUGAGUUACUGGAGGCUAUGGAGAAAAACAUUCUUCCUAUGCCAAGUGUUCUUUUAUUAAGAGAGAGAAAGAAUGAUAGUAUUUUAUGGGCAAUAUUUUACUGCACAUUGCUUAUAGCUGUUUCCAUGAAUACAUUAAAUGCUGAAGUGACAAUAAUGUGCACAAAAAAUGCUUUUGGACUUCUUAAGGAGAUGAGCAUAGCUGUGGAAAUCUGAGUUCUGCCAGAGAAGAGAAGAAUGAAUGGAUCCAACUAAAACUGCAAGGGGAAGUCGAUUAAAUGGACUGUAAAUUUGCAUGGUAGAAUUAGGCAAAGAUGCUAAUGGUAAUACUGCUUGUGUUGCAUCAAGUUACAGAACACACUUUUUUUUUUCUUUUCUGUUAUUUUAGGAUCCAGUUGCAUAUUUUGCUCAAAGGUAUGUGCAUCCCACACACCUCUACUUCAUGGCACAAUGCUUUUUAACAACUUACAGCAGGAUUGUUACAGUACUGGCUCAGAACUAUGACUGUAAUUUACUAAGUAACCAGCAGUACAUGUGGGCCAAGAGAGCUUGCGUAUGCUGGAGGUCAGAAAGCACAAAACAGUGACACUAACCAAAAUGUGUUGGAGUGAGUGUAAUAAAGACUAAAAAGAUGCAUGUCUGGUCAUGUAUGUUAAGAAACCAUAGGGGAAACAUGAGAAUGCUAUCAUGGGACACAGUGUAGAUCAAGGAGACUUGAGAUAUAGUCCAGCUUCUAAGGAAGUACUUUGUCUAUUUUAUAU